rnacentral:lncRNA from 1 species
GUCGUGAACUAAUUCAUUUUACUAACUCAUUUUUCAGGGAUUUUUAAGCAUUUUGUGAGAUCUCCUCGUGGAUUUUUAUAAGGAUGUCACAAAUGCUGCAGGCAGAAUUUUGGCAAGAUUUUCUGGGAGUUUUGCCGAAAAAGUAUACUAUAUAUUCUCAAUGAUCUUUGGAGUUUCAGGGGAUACCCUUAAUUGCGUCAAAACGAAUUCGUGUUAAAAGUGUUCGACGAACAAAGAAUAAAUUCACUCUACGUCUCUAGGCAAUAUAAAACAUCCAGUGGUGUAGUAAGAGGGUGAUAUUGAAGGGGCAUUUUCGUGAGCCGUGAAUUGCUAAUAUUUGUUCCAGUGAAAUGUGAAAGUCACGGACUUUUGUGUCGGUUGUGAAACGUAAUUUACAUUGCCUAGCCGUGAGCAGUGGUGCCUAAAUUACUUUGAAUUUAUACUCGAGUAAAAGUAGAAGUAAUUAACAAUAAAACGACUUGAGUAAGAGUAAAAAGUACUGGAGGCAAAACGUACUUAAGUAAAAAGUACAAAGUAUCCUUAAAAAAUACUUGAAGUACAAAUUAAAAGUAAAAGUAAAAGUACUAUUGUCUGUAGAGUGUGUGGAGGGGGGACUUCUCCAUUCAUGGAUUGAGAUACAAAAAACACAAAACAGCACACGCAUUAUAAAUAUACAAUAUUUCACGGCAUGGUCUACUUUCCAGACCCCGCUGAAGAUAUAAGAAAUACAUUAAAUAAAUAAUGCUUAUAUAAGUAAGUCACAAACGAGAGAUCCCAAACGCAUGUAGAGGUCCUAUUACCUAUCCCAAACGUAAAAUAAAUUGGGAAUAAAUUACGUAAAAUUAAACAAAAGUUAGAAAGUAACGAAAUACUUCGCCACAAAAUGAAAAUAACGAAGUAAAACGUUACUUCUUAUAACGACUUCGUUCCAAGUAAAAGUACUGCAGAAAAAGUUUACUUUGUUACAUGCUCACUUCUCAAAAAUAGUACUCAAGUACAGUAACGAAGUACAUUUACUUCAUUACUUGACACCACUGGCCGUGAGUGCCGAUAAUUUGUGCCAAAAAUUUGUUAUAUUUUCAAAAUAUUACUAUCAGUCCUGAUGAAAAGCUUAUAAGGGUGUCUCAGAAUAGAUCUAUAGUGAAAGGAAAUUUCAAUAAGGGGGCGGGGCUCAUACACCCCCUUCAAUUACAUCCAUGAAAACAUUACAAUAAAAUAACUCAAACUACAAUACAAUAAUUCCAUGCAAUAAAAGAUAACGAUAAAAUCCAAGAUAUAAAGUACAAUGAAACUAAAAUCGUGAUACGCCAUUUGCAAUUACUUCAAUGGCUUCAUUUUAUUUUUUCUUCUAUGAGCCUGCCAAGGUGCAACGCCAUUACUCAUUUAGCGUUCCAUCUUCGAGAUCGGGAAAGCAGACCGAUGGGAACUUGCCGAAACCAGCACAAAUCCCUGGACCUCCAGUAGAGCAAAUUGGAGAACAUUGUUUUGCUGGGUCGGCGGUUGGGUCACAAGGAGAAUGAUCAUCAACACACUCCUGAAAUAACAAAAGUUUUUGUUAGAAACGAGAAAGUCUGAAUCGACGUCUCGAGUGAAGGCCCUUCUAACUUCGGCAGCAUAAUUAAUUAUCCGGCAAAACGUAGCUCAUUUUGUUUGGCUAAGUGAUAUAUCCUUUUCAGGUAUUUCAGACACAAACCACGGCAGCUUAUUAUAAGUAAUAGCAUGGCAUUCAGG